AGCGAACGCUGGCGGCAGGCCUAACACAUGCAAGUCGAACGGAUCCUUCGGGAUUAGUGGCGGACGGGUGAGUAACACGUGGGAACGUGCCCUUUGGUUCGGAACAACUCAGGGAAACUUGAGCUAAUACCGGAUGUGCCCUUCGGGGGAAAGAUUUAUCGCCACUGGAGCGGCCCGCGUCUGAUUAGCUAGUUGGUGAGGUAAAGGCUCACCAAGGCGACGAUCAGUAGCUGGUCUGAGAGGAUGAUCAGCCACAUUGGGACUGAGACACGGACCAAACACCUGCGGGAGGCAGCAGUGGGGAAUCUUGCGCAAUGGGCGAAAGCCUGACGCAGCCAUGCCGCGUGAAUGAUGAAGGUCUUAGGAUUGUAAAAUUCUUUCACCGGGGACGAUAAUGACGGUACCCGGAGAAGAAGCCCCGGCUAACUUCGUGCCAGCAGCCGCUGUAA
rnacentral:rRNA from 1 species